rnacentral:rRNA from 1 species
UACGUAGGGCGCAAGCGUUGUCCGGAAUUAUUGGGCGUAAAGAGCUCGUAGGCGGCUUGUCGCGUCGGGUGUGAAAGCUCGGGGCUUAACCCCGGGUCUGCAUUCGAUACGGGCUGGCUGGAGUGUGGUAGGGGAGAUCGGAAUUCCUGGUGUAGCGGUGAAAUGCGCAGAUAUCAGGAGGAACACCGGUGGCGAAGGCGGAUCUCUGGGCCAUUACUGACGCUGAGGAGCGAAAGCGUGGGGAGCGAACAGG